GACGAACGCUGGCGGCGUGCUUAACACAUGCAAGUCGAACGGAAAGGCCCUGCUUUUGUGGGGUGCUCGAGUGGCGAACGGGUGAGUAACACGUGAGUAACCUGCCCUUGACUUUGGGAUAACUUCAGGAAACUGGGGCUAAUACCGGAUAGGAGCUCCUGCUGCAUGGUGGGGGUUGGAAAGUUUCGGCGGUUGGGGCUGGACUCGCGGCUUAUCGGCUUGUUGGUGGGGUAGUUGCUUACCAAGGCUUUGACGGGUAGCCGGCCUGAGAGGGUGACCGGCGACAUUGGGACUAAGAGACGGACCAGACUCCUACGGGAGGCAGCAGGGGGGAGUAUUGCACAAUGGGCGGAAGCCUGAUGCAGCAACGCCGCGUGCGGGAUGACGGCCUUCGGGUUGUAAACCGCUUUCGCCUGUGACGAAGCGUGAGUGACGGUAAUGGGUAAAGAAGCACCGGCUAACUACGUG
rnacentral:rRNA from 1 species